GGGAAGGGUCAUAACUCAGUGCCAGAGCAUCUGCCUUGCAUGCAGAAGGUCCCAGGUUCCAUAACCUGGGACCUCCCA